GCAUCAGUGGUUCAGUGGUAGAAUUCUUGCCUUCUAUGUAUAAGACUCAGGUUCGAUUCCCAGCCAAUGUA
rnacentral:tRNA from 1 species